AUGAACGCUGGCGGCGUGCCUAAUACAUGCAAGUCGAGCGAACAGACGAGGAGCUUGCUCCUCUGACGUUAGCGGCGGACGGGUGAGUAACACGUGGAUAACCUACCUAUAAGACUGGGAUAACUUCGGGAAACCGGAGCUAAUACCGGAUAAUAUAUUGAACCGCAUGGUUCAAUAGUGAAAGACGGUUUUGCUGUCACUUAUAGAUGGAUCCGCGCCGCAUUAGCUAGUUGGUAAGGUAACGGCUUACCAAGGCGACGAUGCGUAGCCGACCUGAGAGGGUGAUCGGCCACACUGGAACUGAGCCACGGUCCAGACUCCUACGGGAGGCAGCAGUAGGGAAUCUUCCGCAAUGGGCGAAAGCCUGACGGAGCAACGCCGCGUGAGUGAUGAAGGUCUUCGGAUCGUAAAACUCUGUUAUUAGGGGAGAACAAAUGUGUAAGUAACUAUGCACGUCUUGACGGUACCUAAUCAGAAAGCCACGGCUAACUACGUG
rnacentral:rRNA from 1 species